GAGAAUGAUGGGAGAGAGCACAGCAGGCUGGUGUGUAGCUCUGAUAGUAGGGUAAGGAAAUAUGGAACAAGGACUUUCUUUGCAGUUAGGCUUUUGUUCCCAAAAUGAAUUUUUAAUGGAUCAUAUUCUGUUGGCAUGCAAAGGUAAAUAGUCUGUAUGAGACCCUUCUGCUCUUGUUGACAGCACCAUGUUCCUAAAUUUUAAAGCAGUGGUUUUGUUUGAGAAGUAGAUUUCAUAGGCUGUGUCUGCUAAACCAUUUGGCAUUCUGCACACCAGGACCACAAAAUGAACUUUUGCUGACAAGAAGGAGGAAAAAAAUGGGAGGAGGAGGACAGAAUAAUAAAAUAUAUUAGUAGUAUGUGGUUAUGGAAGAAUCUGCUGCAAAACCAAAAAAAUGCUGGAAGUUAUAGUAGUCAGGGAGCAGCUGGAGAGAACAACAGACAGCACAAGCAAUAGAACACGUGGGAAAUCAUGGGAAAUGAAGCAUGAAGAGGAAGGAUUGAAAUCAAGUGAAAAUCAAAGAAGCCAAUGCCACUAAAGCUAUCAGUUUAGAGUAAUUAAUUUGGAUUUGCCCUUCUCUUUGGCUGCUUUUAAAGAUAUUAUUAUUAAUCCUUAGAUGGAGUCCAGUCAUUCACCUUUACUUAUUUCUGUAAUCUGCCUUUGCUUUUCUGUUGGUUUUCCUGGAUAAGACAUGUAUGGGGAUGAGCCAGAGUGGGGGCUGGGAUGAACUGUUCUCACUUACCUGUAAAAUAUCUCUUUUAAUGUCUUGCAGCCAAAAAAGAAGCUUGGUGUCAGGCAAACCAGAUUGAAGAAGAAAAUAUUAGAGGAAAAUAUUGUAUUGAUCAGGUUAAUCUUAACAAUGUCAGGAGGAAUUAUAAGUAGCUCAAGAUUGUUCUGCAAAAUUCUACAGUCUCAUGGACCACCUCACAAAUUGGUGUGAAACGGAGAAAGGUUGAAGGGUACAUUACUGAACCUUCUCUGGAGUUACAGUAAGUUUUUAAAUGGAAACUGAGGUUUCACAAGAGGAAAGAGAGCUCCUGGAUGGAGAUACCUACAUGAAGCUUCAUCAUUCCUAGACCUUGGGAGGAAGAGGACAGUAGAUGGGAGGCUGCAACAUUCAGCUCCUAAGCUGGAGAAUCUCUCUUUCCCUCCCAUGCUAUGAAAUGUGUACAAGAAGCACUGACCAACACACGCAGCCUCAGUCACGUCCCAAGACCUCUGCCUAGUACCCCAGCACUUGCAGGGAUGGGAGUACAGCAGCAGCUAUGCUGUGGUUUAAAACAAGGACAAAUUCCUAGCCUUUAGUUGUGUGGGGCUGUCUGAAAUGAGACAGGGUUGAGACCAAUCCAGUAAUGUCUGUUGGAGCCCAAAGCCUCCCUCUGCAGCCAGCCAGACACGUUCCCCAGGCUGCACCCGGCAGUGCAGAGCUCUGCUGUGGCUCAUCUGCCUCCUCCUCUGUGCCCAGUUUCAAAUCUCUUCAGCAAUAUGUUCUGUAACAAUUAAGGAUUUCUGGGGCAACUCCAUUAAGAUCAGAAAGAUAUCCUUCUGCUUUGAAAUAUAUGAGCAUGAAUGAUCCAUUCAGCACAGCACCCCUUGGCCAGUUUUAUCUCUCUGAUGAUCAAAUAUAUUUUUAAUUAUCAA